CAGCCCCUCAAAAGGAAAAAAGAAAAGGCAGCCCCUCUCCAUAUUCCGUUUCUCUCCCCGCUGUUCAUUGACCAUGCCGGCGCAGCCGAAGGCCAUGAUGGUGCCGCCAUUUCUUCGUGUGAUUAAUGGCCUAGAAGAGAUUACGGCGGCGGCGAGACGGUGAUGAUGGCCGGUUGAGCGGUGGCGACGGUGGGCGAUGAGGCGGAGGCAUUAGCGGCUCGACGCCGCAUAGGAUGCUGAUGAGGAGAUGGUGGUUGUGUCUCACCAGUGCAAGAGGACGCGGUGGCGGCUCGCUGGUGUAAAGGAGGAGGCGGGGGCUAUCGCUGGGCUAGACUACUCGACUCUCUCGGGCUCAUCUUUCGUUGUUCGUCUGGGUAGCCAGGAUUCAAGGACGAAGAGGAGAUGGUUUGCGCCUUAAUUAACCGCUUCGUACCAGAGGUGAGGAAAAAUAGGACGGCAUCAGUUCCUAGCCACCCGCAGUUACAGCUAGCACACACCUUCAUGAGGAAGAUGGAGUGGUCUGUUUGCUCUGUUUUCUUACUUUUCUAAUAAUGGUUAUACGUUU